CCUUCGAUAGCUCAGCUGGUAGAGCGGAGGACUGUAGAAUACUUAAGAACAAGUCAUCCUUAGGUCGCUGGUUCGAUUCCGGCUCGAAGGA